UUCAGUUUAGUUUUUAUUAUUAAAAAGUUAAUUGCCUUCGCCUCGUAGAGCGCUCAGUAUGGCGAACACCGGAAAAACUGAAAGCAACGAAGACCCAACUGAGCGUUUGAUGUGCCCAAUUUGUCGGCUAUAGUUGGUCUUAUAUAGCAUACGCCGCAGCGCUGGGACAAUCAAAAUACAAAAAGGAUUUAAUGGCAUCACAAUGGACCUUUUUCUCCUAAGUGUAGGGAGGCGUAUUACGCCGCAGCCAUAUCUAACUAACCUACCUAGUAUAUAGUAUUAUAAUAUUAAAUAUUAUUAAAAUAUUAUGCGUAUUAAAA